UGUAUGAUGACACCCCAGUAGCACUGCAAACUCCCAAGCAUGCAGUGGGGAAGCCAACGUUGGAGAGCAGAACGAUCA